rnacentral:tRNA from 1 species
UAGGCCUAUGAAAAAUCAAAUUCGAACCUAAAUUUGCACUUUAGGACAGCUAGGCCUG